rnacentral:rRNA from 1 species
AUACGGAGGGUGCAAGCGUUGUUCGGAAUCACUGGGCAUAAAGGGCGCGCAGGCGGUUUGGUAAGUCAGAUGUGAAAGCCCACGGCUCAACCGUGGAAGUGCAUUUGAAACUGUCAGACUUGAGUACUAGAGGGGAAAGUGGAAUUCCCGGUGUAGAGGUGAAAUUCGUAGAUAUCGGGAGGAAUACCGGUGGCGAAGGCGACUUUCUGGCUAGAUACUGACGCUGAGGCGCGAAAGCGUGGGGAGCAAACAGGAUUAGAAACCCUUGUAGUCC